AACGCGAAGAACCUUACCUGGGCUUGAACUACUCGUGGUAGUCCGAUUGAAAGAUUGGGCGACCCGCAAGGGAGCGAGCAGAGGUGCUGCAUGGUUGUCGUCAGCUCGUGUCGUGAGAUGUUGGGUUAAGUCCCGCAACGAGCGCAACCCCUACUCGAUGUUGCUAACUCCGCAAGGAGUGCACUCUUCGAGAACUGCCUUCGAUAAGAAGGAGGAAGGUGGGGACGACGUCAAAUCCUCAUGGCCCUUAUGUCCAGGGCUACACACGUGCUACAAUGGCCGGUACAACGGGAAGCAAGGCCGCAAGGCGGAGCAAAACCCUAAAAGCCGGCCCCAGUUCAGAUCGUGGGCUGCAACUCGCCCACGUGAAGGCGGAAUCGCUAGUAAUCGCGAAUCAGCAGGUCGCGGUGAAUACGUUCCCGGGCCUUGUACACACCGGCUAC
rnacentral:rRNA from 1 species